UAUGGCCACAUCAUGUUGAAACAUCAGUUACUGUACAAUUACUGAAGUUAAGCAACAUUGAGCCUGGUCAGUACCUAGAUGGGUGACUGCUUGGGAAUACCAGGUACUGUAAG